rnacentral:lncRNA from 13 species
CCUGAGCAUUAUAGUUCUAAAAACUGAAUUUUCAUGACCUGAUGCAUUUUGUGACUUUGAUAUUAAUAUGUAAACAAAGCCACAUUUGCUUCUUGGUCACCUCAGUAAACUCAGAUAAAGAAGUAGCCUAGGUCCUAGGCCUAGCAAGGCUAGGUAUAUUAUGUCUCAGCCUAAAGAUGAUUCAAAUCUCUUUGUGUUCAUAGUUUAUCUAUAAAGCAUAUUUUAGUAGAUCGUGUUUGAAUUUUUUUGUUUGUUUGUUUUUGAAGUGUCCUCCCACUGUCUAUGUUAUGCAGUAGAUUAAUUGCUAAUAAAAAUGGGUUUGACUCAGCCAAGAUGGUAGUGAAGUAGUGGCUGUUGAGCUGCCAGUGAAGGCUUUGGUUCCCAGGUCUCCAGCCAACUCAGACUAAGCAGACUAAAGAGGUAAAUUGCUCAGUGUUGAUGGAAGAUGGGAAAAGGUCGUAUUAUCUCUUCUUUCCUCUUUCUAAUGUAAACACCUCAUAUGCAAUUGAUAGGUCUUCAAAUGCUGAGAAAUACAGUGACAGGACAUUACAAACUCUUAGCUCUCUCCUGAACAACCUUCAUUAUCUAUAACCAGGUUAUGUGCUAGCAUCCACAUUUAGAAAUAGCUCCCUUGUUUAGUGCACAGUAUCAGUGCAUCAGUCCUGUUUCGUAGGAGUGUACAGUGGUGAGGUGGACUUUCCAAACUCCAGCUGAACCUUUUCAAGCAGAAGGAAUCCGUCUUUUUCUCAGUUGGCAGGCCUAGCAUAUCCUUGUGAAUACUUGGGGAGCACCACCAGUACAGCUGUGUUGGCUGCCAGCCAUCAACUGGAGAUGGUUCACAGGAGAGGGUUGAUGAAUUCUCUUGGAUUCAACUUAAACAUGAGCUUAAUCCCAGUAAAGUCAGUGGUGCUUAAACAUAUACAGAAAGCUGAGCAUGGGUUGGCAAAACAAAGAUGCUUACAGGAGAAGAACUUCGUCUUUUCUACUGCAUUCUGCUUCGGCUUCUCAACAUUCAACCAGGGGGAUCCUCACCACCAAGAAGACUAGAUGGAGAGGCUCACCGAUUAUCAGGAUGCUGGUGGGGUCCACGGAGUGGUGAUAUUUUCUUUGAUCUGUCCCCCCCAUCUCUUUUCUCUUUCUUUCUCUUUCUCUGUCUGUCUCUCUCACAUUUACUGUUAAAUAAAAUCCAUACUAUUGACUUUGACAUAUGGUCUUAUUUGCACCUUAAUUCAGGCAGAGGCAUUUCUAAUAAUUUUAAGAACUGGACCAAAACAAAGGAGCAUCAUGUUUUCAUCUGUGCUGGCAACAGCAGAAGGAUCAUAGAUAUCACUAAACUCCCCUGUGCUUGCACCACUUAUUUAAUGGAAUUUUUACCAGGGAGUGUUCACUGGAAUUUCAGAGGAAAUAUAGAUUAUCCUCUAAACCUCUAUAUCUGUAAGACAGGGAAUUUUUAUUCCUUCUCUCUCCUUACCUUCAUGCCAUGGCCUCUCCUGCUUUUGCAGUCCUGCUAGUGUUGGCUCUUCCUUUAGCAUUUCCACCAUGUCUCUUUUCUGCAGAGAAGAACUCUGCACCAGGGGGUUGGUUUUAGGUAGUGGCAAAGGGGAUAUAAGGUCCUGGAACUUCAGAGCUUAACUAAAGCUUGUUCAAGCCAAUCAGUAAUUUUGGCCAUGUGGUUUUAGAAGGUUUUUUUAAAUAAAAAUUAUUGUGCAACAGG